rfam:Caenorhabditis japonica strain DF5081 Contig9743.1, whole genome shotgun sequence.
UACCUGAUUGAUUCUGUCAGCGCGAUAUGCUCAAGUAAAAGAUUAAGCCAUGCAUGCUUUGAUUCAUAAAUGAAAAUUGCGUACGGCUCAUUAGAGCAGAUAUCACCUUUCUCGGAAUCCUGAAAAGGAUAACUGCGGAAAUUCUGGAGCUAAUACAUGCGACUAUACUCCAACGCAAGGCGGGGUGCAAUUAUUAGAACAGACCAAACGUUUUCGGACGUUGUUUGUUGACUCUGAAUACCGUCGCUUACUGUCAGUUUCGACUGACUCUAUCCGAGAAGGGUGUCUGCCCUUUCAACUAGAUGGUAAUCUAUUGGACUACCAUGGUUGUUACGGGUAACGGAGAAUUAGGGUUCGACUCCGGAGAGGGAGCCUUAGAAACGGCUACCACGUCCAAGGAAGGCAGCAGGCGCGAAACUUAUCCACUGUUGAGUAUGAGAUAGUGACUAAAAAUAUAAAGACUCAUCCUUUUGGAUGAGUUAUUUCAAUGAGUUGAAUAUAAAUUAUUCUUCGAGUAGCAAGGAGAGGGCAAGUCUGGUGCCAGCAGCCGCGGUAAUUCCAGCUCUCCUAGUGUAUCUCGUUAUUGCUGCGGUUAAAAAGCUCGUAGUUGGAUCUAGGUUACGUGCCGCAGUUCGCAAUUUGCGUUAACUGUGGUCGUGACUUCUAAUUUGCUGGUUUGAGGUUGGGUUCGCCCUUCAACUGCCAGCAGGUUUACCUUGAAUAAAUCAGAGUGCUCAAUACAGGCGCUUGCUUGAAUAGCUCAUCAUGGAAUAAUGAAACAGGACUUCGGUUCUUUUUGUUGGUUCUAGAAUUGAUCUAAUGGUUAAGAGGGACAAACCGGGGGCAUUCGUAUCAUUAACGCGAGAGGUGAAAUUCGUGGACCGUAGUGAGACGCCCAUAGCGAAAGCAUUUGCCAAGAAUGUCUUCAUUUAUCAAGAACGAA